UACGAAGGGGGCUAGCGUUGCUCGGAAUCACUGGGCGUAAAGCGCACGUAGGCGGCUUGUUAAGUCAGGGGUGAAAUCCUGGAGCUCAACUCCAGAACUGCAUUUGAUACUGGCGAGCUUGAGUUCGGGAGAGGUGAGUGGUACUGCGAGUGUAGAGGUGAAAUUCGUAGAUAUUCGCAAGAACACCAGUGGCGAAGGCGGCGCACUGGUCCGGUACUGACGCCGAGGUGCGAAAGCGUGGGGAGCAAACAGG
rnacentral:rRNA from 1 species